UGGAAGGCCUCCUUCAUGCCAGGCAUUUUCCAGGUUAUCCUAUUUAAUCUUCACAACAAUUCUAUAGGAAGGGAUGCUUAUCUCUGCUUUGGAGAGGAGAAACAGGCCAGAGGGUUUAUGGAACAUGUGCAAUAUCAUGCAGAAUGUUGACAGUGAAGCCAGGGUCAAAACUCAGGUCUGCCUGAGUCCAAGUUCAAUUCCAUAGACAUGGUGCUAACAUCCUACUGGGUGCCAGGCAGUAUGCUUUAGGGGCAUAGGUGCCUCCCUAUUGUCAAGGAUUUUGAGAUCAGAUUUGAGGACCCUUUUUUUUGGUAGGUCUAUAUUUUUCUUACAGCCACUCUCCAUUUUAAGCACAUCGUGAGUGGACUUUUGGAGUCUGAUCUAUCGAGCUGGGUAUGUUUGGAAACCUACAGAACAGUAGCCACAGAAAGACUAUGUGAGACAGAGUCCUAGCCUAUCUGUGCGGCCAGUCGAACCUCAUGUGUUUGCUGCUUUCAUUUCCCCUUGGCUCAGGAAACGAUGGUUUGGUUUUGCAAAGGAAGGCUGGGGACUUCUGCCAGCUUGCUAACAGCCUUGCCCCAUUCAGAUGCAUCGAACUCACAGAACAUCACUCCCCAGCUGCCGGCCCGCGGUUCGGAGAGUGCCUGAAUAGAAAACCACUCAUUUCCCUUCGCAAAAGAGGCGCCCAAAGCAGAUAUUUCAAUAUAUUCCAAUUUAGCCGAGGGAAGCCAGAACAUGGAUGUUGUUGCCAAGGAAACCACCUCGUCCUCCUGUGUGCUGUGCAUACGUGUAUCACUUCAUCUCUCUGCUCUCCAAGCCCAGCCAUUGCUCCUGAGCUUCAGAACCACAUAUCCAACUACCUACAAGAUACCUUCAUGAGGAUGUGCCAGGCAGUGGAAACAUUCAGAGCAGAACUUCUCACAUCUCCAUACUUGCUGUCCCAUGUUCCUCUUCCCUGUGACUGGCACCGUAACCCAACAGUUAUGUAAGUAAGGAAGAAACCUCAACUCCUCCUUUCCCAAUGCCUCUGCCAAAGACCCAACCAAUCUUCAAGUCCUGUACGUUCUAAGUCCUGCGUAGGUCUGAAUUUCCCGGUCGCUCUUUACUCCCACUGUUCCUGCCCUGUCUAGGGCCCCCUACAUUUUCUCCCGGAUGGGCCUCUCCCUGGGCUCUCUGCCUCUAACUAUUUUCCACACGGUGACUUAGGGACAGUUUCAGUCUGACCUUGUCACUCCCCUCUAUUCAGGCCUUUAGUGGUAUCCUGUUACCUCUGUUUGGACAAAAUCUACACCUUAGCCUGGCGUAUAAAGCCUUCCAUGGCUCCUCUUCUGUCUCCAGGUAUUUAUCCUCCAGGAAAAUCAAAUAGCUACUCCACUAGCCUGGCUCGGCACCAGGGCUAGGCAGAAAAGUCAUAUGAUUGUAGCACCGUUUUUUAAGUUUCUGUCAUUGAGAUAAAAUAAAAAGGGUCAGAUUGUCA
rnacentral:lncRNA from 13 species